UACGUAGGGGGCAAGCGUUACUCGGAAUUACUGGGCGUAAAGGGCGCGUAGGCGAUUUUGUAAGUCUUGUGUGAAAGCCCAAAGCCUAACUUUGGAAGUGCACAAGAUACUGCGAGAAUUGAGUUCCGGAGAGGAAGAUGGAAUUCCCGGUGUAGCGGUGAAAUACGUAGAUAUCGGGAGGAACACCAGUGGCGAAGGCGGCUACCUGGACCGGUUCUGACGCUGAUGCGCGAAAGCGUGGGGAGCAAACAGG
rnacentral:rRNA from 1 species